rnacentral:lncRNA from 1 species
GGCGCCCACCGUAAGCCUCCCGGGCCUUGUGAACCUGCAAACCCAAGUCUGAGAGACGAUCCGCCUUCAGCGCUUUCCAGCUUGGCAGAGAGGCUUUCCCGGCGGGGAUCUUUGGUUGGCGCUGGCGAUGCGCGGGGAAGAAAGGCGAGGAGCGGCGUCCAGGCUGGGUGAUGUCCCAGCACGAGUAGGCGGGAUGCGCUCGCUUGGUCCUCCGGGCGCCCGGUCCCUGCCCGCGUCGCGCGCCCACCCCUGGGGACGAGAAGGCGGCCGCCUGAGGACCCCCGCCCGCGACCUCCGCGAGUCUGGAGCGCAGAGGACAGGGUCUGGCUGCUCUUUGGCCUUGGAUGGAAAGUGGGGAAUUGGGUGGGGGGCUGCGGACCCCUUAACGUGGAUUACUUGGUGUGUAUCAGCUGGGCUCAGAAGACCCACGACCUCUUCUCCAUCCGUGGAUUGAUUUGUUCUGCUUAACAGCUGGGUCGCCAAGCUGGAGGUAUUUUUCCCUCUCCACCCUGGUCUUCUCCUGUAACGUGUGGCCGCCUUUUCCAGCACGGCCUCCUGCCUUCCUGGUGCACUUUUUGGAGAACGUGGUGGAAUCAGAGGUUUCUGGCUGACUCGGUGGGUGCUUUGAACCAGGAAAGGACAAGAAAGAGGAACUCUGAAAGCCACAUGUUGAGAUGGCCCCAUUACAGGAUGGAGAGCACCUGAACCCCCAAGUUAUGGACUAGAAGAAGACAGUUGCCCUGGAAAAUCAUCUGACCCACAUUGGACUUUAUGUGAGGGGGAAAUAAACCUUUAUUAUGUUAAGCUACACAAUAAUAAAUAACAACAAUAAUUGUGUUUAUUUGUUACCUCA